AAGUUACUAAAUAACUCUUUCUUAUAUUUUCAAAAUAUACGCUUUAAUAGAAAUAAGCUAAGUAAC
rnacentral:tRNA from 1 species